CCUACGGGAGGCAGCAGUGGGGAAUUUUCCGCAAUGGGCGAAAGCCUGACGGAGCAACGCCGCGUGAGGGAUGAAGGCCUCUGGGCUGUAAACCUCUUUUCUCAAGGAAGAAGAUCUGACGGUACUUGAGGAAUAAGCCACGGCUAAUUCCGUGCCAGCAACCGCGGUAAUACGGGAGUGGCAAGCGUUAUCCGGAAUUAUUGGGCGUAAAGCGUCCGCAGGCGGCCCUUCAAGUCUGCUGUUAAAACGUGGAGCUUAACUCCAUCAUGGCAGUGGAAACUGUUGGGCUUGAGUGUGGUAGGGGCAGAGGGAAUUCCCGGUGUAGCGGUGAAAUGCGUAGAUAUCGGGAAGAACACCAGUGGCGAAGGCGCUCUGCUGGGCCACAACUGACGCUCAUGGACGAAAGCCAGGGGAGCGAAAGGGAUUAGAUACCCCUGUAGUCCUGGCCGUAAACGAUGAACACUAGGUGUCGGGGGAAUCGACCCCCUCGGUGUCGUAGCCAACGCGUUAAGUGUUCCGCCUGGGGAGUACGCACGCAAGUGUGAAACUCACAGGAAUUGACGGA
rnacentral:rRNA from 1 species